AAAGCCCUCUGAGAUCACCCAGUCCAACCCGUGACCCACCACCACGUUGUCCCCCAGACCAUGGCACCACAUCCAGCCUCUCCUUGAACCCCUCCAGGGAUUGGUGACUCCACCACCUCCCUGGGCAACCCCUUCCAAGCUUUAAUCCCCCUCUCUGGGAAGAAAUUCCUCAGAAUCACAGGUUGGAAAAGCCCUCUGGGAUCACCCAGCCCAACCCAUGAGCCAACCCCACCCUGCCACCACAUCCAGCCUCUCCUUGAACCCCUCCAGGGAUUGGUGACUCCACUGCCUCCCUGGGCAACCCCUUCCAAGUUUUAAUCCCCCUCUCUGGGAAGAAAUUCCUCAGAAUCACAGGUUGGAAAAGCCCUCUGGGAUCACCCAGCCCAACCCAUGACCCAACCCCGUCACCCAGCCCACGGCACCGCAUCCAGUCCCUUCCCAAACCCCUCCAGGGAUCGGUGACUCCCCCCCAGCCUCUCCCCACGCCCCCCCCGUGUCCCGCCGUGCCGCGGGGGGGUCCCUGUCACCUCUGGGCCGUGGUGGUGAUGGCGUCCACGAUCUCGAUGAUGCGGUGCAGCGCCGAGUCGGUGCCGAUGGUCAUGUCGGUGCCGCAGAAGUCGUUGUCGAUGGAUCCCACCAUGCCCACGAUGUUCAGGGCGCUCGAGCGCUGCGCCUCCUCCGCCGUGAUGGCGCCUGCCCAAGGGUGGGACACCCCCUUUGCCCUCUGCGUGUGGCCCCCC